rnacentral:rRNA from 1 species
UACGGGGGGGGCAAGCGUUGUUCGGAAUUACUGGGCGUAAAGGGCGCGUAGGCGGCCGAUUAAGUCGGGGGUGAAAGCCUGUGGCUCAACCACAGAAUUGCCUUCGAUACUGGUUGGCUUGAGACCGGAAGAGGACAGCGGAACUGCGAGUGUAGAGGUGAAAUUCGUAGAUAUUCGCAAGAACACCAGUGGCGAAGGCGGCUGUCUGGUCCGGUUCUGACGCUGAGGCGCGAAAGCCAGGGGAGCAAACGGG